UAUUUAUGUAAACGUGUAAUUUAUAAAUUAAUUUAGACUAAAACUUUCAGUAAUACAACUCUUAUAUCGCAAUUUAUAAAGUGAUAAAGUGUAACAUUGGUGGCCAUUACAAAACCUAAACUUUUUAUCAGAACAAAUGUCCAUUUGAUGUUUCGGCGACGUUGUGACUAAUCUCACGGAAAGCUAACUAAAAAUCGCGUAUUGUGCUUUUAUUUACUGCAUAUAGGAAUCCUAAAGUGCUGUGAACUUAAUUAUUGAGAAUCCUUGUUGUAAAUUAUUUCAAAACGUUUUGUGCCGAACGACAAUUAUUGGGGUUGACUUCUCACAAGGAACUGUCAAUUGUUACAUUUUUUCGAUACAUUCAUUUCUUUUAUCGACAAAUAUUAAUUAGCCGAACACGUAUAACAUUAGUUACCCGAAGAUUGGCUGUCUGCAUGGCGAUUUUGUGUAACAAAAAUGAUUUUGAGAUAAAUUGUCUAAUAGUGCAGUGGUCAUAGUAUUGAAGUGAA